rnacentral:rRNA from 1 species
CCUACGGGUGGCAGCAGUGGGGAAUUUUCCGCAAUGGGCGAAAGCCUGACGGAGCAACGCCGCGUGAAGGAAGAAGGCUUUCGGGUUGUAAACUUCUUUGACAGGGGAAGAGCAGAAGACGGUAGCCUGAAAACAAGCCACGGCUAACUACGUGCCAGCAGCCGCGGUAAUACGUAGGUGGCAAGCGUUGUCCGGAUUUACGGGGUGUAAAGGGCGUGUAGCCGGGAAGGCAAGUCCGAUGUGAAAUCUGGGGGCUCAACCUCCAAUUUGCAUUUGAAACUGUUUUUCUUGAGUACUGGAGAGGCAGACGGAAUUCCUGGUGUAGCGGUGAAAUGCGUAGAUAUAAGGAGGAACACCAGUGGCGAAGGCGGUCUGCUGGACAGCAACUGACGGUGAGGCGCGAAAGCGUGGGGAGCAAACAGGAUUAGAUACCCGUGUAGUC